rnacentral:rRNA from 1 species
AAUGGAGGACCGAACCGACUUACGUUGAAAAGUGAGCGGAUGAACUGAGGGUAGCGGAGAAAUUCCAAUCGAACUUGGAGAUAGCUGGUUCUCUCCGAAAUAGCUUUAGGGCUAGCCUCAAGUGAUGAUUAUUGGAGGUAGAGCACUGUUUGGACGAGGGGCCCCUCUCGGGUUACCGAAUUCAGACAAACUCCGAAUGCCAAUUAAUUUAACUUGGGAGUCAGAACAUGGGUGAUAAGGUCCGUGUUCGAAAGGGAAACAGCCCAGACCACCAGCUAAGGUCCCAAAAUAUAUGUUAAGUGGAAAAGGAUGUGGCGUUGCCCAGACAACUAGGAUGUUGGCUUAGAAGCAGCCAUCAUUUAAAGAGUGCGUAAUAGCUCACUAGUCGAGUGACACUGCGCCGAAAAUGUAACGGGGCUAAACAUAUUACCGAAGCUGUGGAUUGUCCUUUGGACAAUGGUAGGAGAGCGUUCUAAGGGCGUCGAAGCAUGAUCGCAAGGACAUGUGGAGCACUUAGAAGUGAGAAUGCCGGUGUGAGUAG